UCAUCACAGAAUUAGGAGAGGAUGGUAUUGAUUGGGGCAGCCGAUGUUUUCGCGGGAACCUUUUUUUAUGGUUUAUCUUUACCAUCCCCCACCGGGCACCGGCGCCGAUCAAAUUCUCCUAAUCCCGGUUUUGAACUUAUAUAAAUCCUCAUAUAUCGGUUUCCAUGGCUGCAACUGAAUCGAAAACUGAAACAGAAGUUCCCCCAACAACCGGGAAUGCUUCAGAAACGAAAACCGUGGAAGUGAGUAAUGUCUCAAUGACGGUCACUGAGAAGGAUAUCCGAGAAUUCUUCUCAUUUUCGGGAAAUAUCCAUUAUGUUGAAAUGAAAAGUGAAAGUGAAACCACCCAACGCGCGUUUGUCACCUUCAAGGAAUCAAAGGGAGCACAUACAGCACUUCUUUUGACAGUACGUUAACUUUUACGUUUUAACUCAUAGUCACAGGAAACGCUAGCCUACCCUCGAUCUACGUGCCAGAUCGUUCGUACCGGAGACGGGUACAAAAUUGUACCGAUCGCUCAAGGGAGCCACGAUCGGCGAUUUAUUAGUUUCACUAAGCCCGGUUGAGAAUUACCAGUUGCCUGCGGGGGCUCCUCCUCUAACACCGACAGAUACAGAUGGGAAAUCUGAAGUUGCACAACAGGCAGAAGAAGUGGUAAGCACGAUGCUUGCAAAGGGUUUCGUUCUGGGAAAAGACGCGCUACAAAAGGCGAAGUCGUUUGACGAGAAACACCAGUUGACAUCGAACGCUUCUGCGACCGCUGUUUCCAUUGACCAAAAGAUGGGUUUGACUCAGAAGUUAAGUACGGGGACAGCUGUCGUGAAUGAAAAGAUGAAAGAAGUCGACGAACGUUACCAAGUAUCCGAAGCAACAAAGUCCGCUGUUACUAAAGCCGAGAAGAAGGCGAAUGAUGCUGGUUCCGCUCUCAUGAGCAACAAAUAUGUAUCCAAUGGAGCUGUGUGGAUCGCGGGUGCUUUUGCUGCGGUUGCAAAGGCAGCUGAAGGUGUUGGGUCCAAGACUAAGAAAAAGGUUCAUGAAGCCGAAGAGGAAAAGGAGGGUUCAAAGACUAAAGACUCGGUUCAGAAAGCUGAGGGUUCAAAUAAAGACUCUUCUGUGUCACCUGUCAAACCAUCCAAUGAAAACAACAAACUUCCAAAUCAGUGAACAUGCGAAAUGAGAACAUGAAAUCAUAUUGUCUGCAAAUCUAGAUUGAUAUCUUCUUUACUAAUACUAUAUAGAAAGUUUACAACAGAGGAUAUAAAAAUGGUAAUAUCUACUUUUAGUGUGAAAAAAUGGAUAGUUUGUGUAACUAUGUUAACAAAAUAUACCUUUUGGAACCUUGUUCCACUUAUUCAUAACCAAUGUCUGUUUUUUGCUUGUUU